rfam:Picea glauca, whole genome shotgun sequence.
ACAUGCCUACAACAUAGAAUUAAUGCAUCGAAUCCCAUUAUAACUUUGUAGUUAAGCGCACUUGGGCUAGAGUAGUACUCGGAUGGGUGAUUUCCUGGGAAUUCCUAUUGUUUUACAUGCC